AGAUAAUAAUAGGGACGAGUGUUAUUUCUAUUUUUAUUUUUGAUUUUUAUGACUUUUAUUAUAAAUUAUUGCUAAUUUUAUUAGUUGAGAUUUAUUAAUAAUUUUUGGAAGAGAUGGGGGACUUAAGGUUCAAUUAGAUUAAAAUCGCAAUAUAGCUCGUUUAAAGGCACUGUCGCUCACAUAAUUGUAAGAUAUAUUGCCAAUUCUCGGC
rnacentral:lncRNA from 1 species